rnacentral:rRNA from 1 species
AGAGUUUGAUCCUGGCUCAGGAUGAACGCUGGCGGCGUGCCUAAUACAUGCAAGUCGAGCGGAAAGGUUCUGCACUUAUUAUUUGAACCAGUGUGUCUAGUGAUAGAAACUGCUGGAAACAUAUUUACUGGCUAGUGAAUAUGGUCGAAUAAUGGGUGUAGAAUACUCGAGCGGCGGACGGCUGAGUAACACGUAGGAACGUACCCCAAUGUGAGGAUAAGCACCAGAAAUGGUGUCUAAUACCGCAUGUGCUCUAAGGAGUAAAGCUUCGGCGCUUUGGGAACGGCCUGCGCAUGAUUAGCUUGUUGGUGAGGUAAUAGCUCACCAAGGCGACGAUCAUUAGCUGGUCUGAGAGGAUGACCAGCCAGACUGGGACUGAGAACGGCCCAGACUCCUACGGGAGGCAGCAGUAGGGAAUUUUCCACAAUGGGCGAAAGCCUGAUGGAGCAACGCCGCGUGCAGGAUGAAGGCCCUAGGGUUGUAAACUGCUUUUAUAUGUGAAGAUUUGACGGUAACAUA